rnacentral:lncRNA from 1 species
UUCGGAACCGAGUGCGGUGGGCUAGGACUAUACGUUUGCAAGUUUAAGAGAUAAGCGAGAAGACCAGACAGAGCAAACAAUAAAAGGCUUUUUGUUGAGAACUGUAUAAAUGUAAGGGAGUACCAAAUCCCCUAUUUUGAAUGACAGUAUCACGGACUUUAUUACAUAUGUAAUUUUAUUCUGAUUAUGAAAGCAUCAGUAAUUUCACUAUUGAGGAAUAACCACAAUGUUUAUGAAUAUUUCCUUUGCUUCUAAAUAUGCGGUCUUUUUAAAUCAUGUAUUUUAUUUCAUUUGUAUAUAUAGUUUUUCGCUGUGUAAACUUCCUUUUUGCAAAAUUCUACGUCACAAAUUGAACAAGGCAAUUAGAUGUCUAGGGAAGUACUGAUGCACGAGAAAGCAUAUUGCAGCAUUGGUUAAUAAAACGAAAAAAUAGAAACCUAAGAUUUAACAAAGGGAAGUUGUUAACUAGUGGUGUAAACACUCAACACAGACAUGUCUUCAUACAGCAAACAUUUGUUGAGUACAAUGCUGAAUGAAACACAUUGAGAAACACUCUAUAGUGGGGAAGUAGCAAAUAUUUCAAUUCAGUGAGCAAUUGCUAAUGAAUGGAAAAUAUGACACAUAGAAUCUAUCUUCUCCCAGGGAGUUUGUAAUCUGUUAGUGAAGCAGGAAAGAAUAAUCAAGCAAUACUUUUUUGUUUGGACCAAAAGGGUGAGAAUAGACUAUAAACUCAUUUCAGGUUUUGUUUACUCUAGAACGUAAUCAUUUUUCUUCUCACAUGCCAUGUUGAUUUUAAUCUAAUCUCUUUAAAAUAUAUCCCCCUGAUUUCCAUCUUUCUUAGGAGAGAGGUGUCCCAUUUUGCGAAAGGACGUGAGUGUAUCUUGUCCUCCAUGUAAUGAAAGGGAGGGAUUACUUGCUAGGCUGCAUUCUGGGAAUGGUGAAACAGAGAUGGUGGUAAGUCAAGGAAUUUGUCCAAGGGCAAACUGCAUGCCUGUGGCAGAGCUUAGAAUAAUAUCCAGACCUAGGUUCCAACCCACUGUUAGAUUUUUUUUAACUUUGGAAUUUAUUUUGCAUAGAGUAUUAAGGGCUAGGAAGAUAAAAUAGGUUAUAGUGAUAGGGUACUUCGUGUACGUCUUUCCUCACUUCAGAUGACUGGGUUUUUUAAAGGAUUAUUUAGACUAUAUACAUAUUUAUUUAGCUGUACAGGAGUAGACUGACAUAUAUACGUGGUGAUGGAUCCCCAAGACAGAUCCUGUAACUGUGGCAGGAGGAUUGUGGAUAGGAUGGUGUCUACUGACUAUUCCCAAUGCCAGUGAUCUAAUUGGUUGGUCACCCAGAUUUUGCUCAACUCUGAUAAUUGUCAGAUGCAUUCCAACUAGAACUACUCCAUCUUAAAUGGGGCUGGGUAAGAUGAGGCUGAGACCUAUUGGGCUGCAUUCCCAGAUAGUUAAGGCAUUCUAAGUCACAGGAUGAGAUAGGAGGUCAGCACAAGAUACAGGUCAUGAAGACCUUGCUGAUAAACAGGUUGCAGUAAAGAAGCCAGCUAAAACCCACCAAAACCAAGAUGGUGACGAGAGUGACCUCUGGUCAUCCUCACUGCUACACUCCCACCAGCGCCAUGACAGUUUAUAAAUGCCAUGGCAACAUCAGGAAGUUACCCUAUGUGGUCUAAAAAUGGUAGACAUGAAUAAUCCACCCCUUGUUUAGCAUAUAAUCAAGAAAUAACCAUAAAAAUGGGCAACCAGCAGCCCUCGGGGCUGCUCUGCCUAAGGAGUAGCCAUUGUUUUAUUCCUUUACUUUCCUAAUAAACUUGCUUUCACUUUA